CUUUGCAUAAUGCACCAGAGAAAAGAUAGAGAGUAUGGUUUAGUUAUAAGAUCCUGGGAUUACCCGAGGACUAGAAAUUUAGAUUUUAAAAGUCAAAACCUGGGAGGCCCUUAACUCCAGGUGACUUGUUCUCCUUCCUUGAGGGAGAGGGAGAGGGAGAGGGAGAGGGGAGGGAGGGUGCAGGGGAGAGAAAACUGCAGCAGAAGAGCAACAUUAGCGAUACCCGCGAACUGUACAUGUAUCUGCCUAAGAAUUCUAUAUAAGCUCCAACUGGCCUCCUAUCCUCUCCCAUUAGCUAAACGGAUUUUUCCGGGCCGAACAUAGAUUCUCCUUUUCUAGUUACUAGUGAUAAGGGCAAACUAAAGUUAUGUCCAAUUUAGCAACAACCACCUUUUAUAUAGAAGAGUUUAAUUUUGACAAAAAAAAAAGUAUAGAAGAAAUUAGUAUAAAAUUUUUAUUAAAAAAUACUCUCUCAAAUUUAUAAAAAAUUUUUGAAUAGAAUUUUAAUUAACUUAGUGAUUACAAUAUUUAUCAGUGAUUAUGGGCGAAAAUUAGUUCUGAUUGCAUUGAUAGGCAAUAUGGGCAAGAUGCAAUCAAAUGAUAAAGGCAUAAUUUAGCGAUUACGAGAGUAAAUUUGGAAAUCCAAAGGCGAAAAAAAAUUACCCCAAAGCCACUACACUCCCUUCAUAUAUAACAGUAUAGAUGAUUUUACUCAAAAUUCAAAUUAAAUACAUUUAGUAGAAGUUAAAAAAUAAGGCUCCAGCUUCUUGUUUAGAUUCAAACUUGAUAAGGAGCUAAAUAUUAAAACAAAAAAAAUGCUAGUGACACACUCUUAUUUGUGACUUUUUUGCUCAUGUAAACUCAAAAGGAAAAAAGUUGAAGAUACUCUAAAUUAUAAUUACACCUUCAUAAAAAAAAAUUGAUGAUACAAUUAACAAAGGAUAUGGGUAGUUUUUUUUUUAAUCUAAUUUAGAUAGUCAAAAUAUCAAAAAGAGUUUCAUUAACAAAUAAGAAAGUGCAUUUCAACAUUUUUUUUUUCUAAAAUAGUUUUUUGUAUAAAAUUUAUUUUGAACUUCCUUCAAGGAUGAAUUGUUAGACUUCCAUGUUAGUUAUUUCUUGUUCAACUAGUAGUAGUUUUUACUAUCAAACCAUAAGAAUAAAAAAAACAGCCACCGAUAAAGGAUGCUCGCUUAAUCGUAGCGUAAUACUUGCGUACAAUUGAUAGAAGUAGCUAUAAAUCAGCAUGGGAAUUGGGACGGGUCAAGUCUUAAGGGUGAAUUGGGGUAACCAAUGGCUGUUAUGGUCGUCGUGAGGGGCGUUUGACGCUGAACUUUUGAGGUGGGAAGAGCGGUGUAAGCUACGUGUAAAGUAAGAAUGAGGUGGCAGUGGUUGGCAGCAGCUGUUGAUGGUGAUCCGGUUCCAGGAUUCCAUUUCGGCGGCUCGGACUCGUAGGUAUCGGCACGUAGUUCUUAAGCAACGCUGUGGCUGCGAAUCAAUUUCGGGAUGCACGUGGCCCGGGUUUCUUUCUUUUUUUUUUUCCGAAACGAUAAUAUGUGGCCCGGGUUUCUUUCUGUCUUUCUCAUUUUCUCUCUCUCUUCGUGGAUGGAUGGAUGGACGUUUUUAAAUUGAUUAAAUGACUAAAAUAAUCAUUAAAGUAUUUAAAAUAGUACAAUUUGAACAUUAAACUUUUUUUUGGCACAAUCCAAUCAUUUAAUUCUUUAAAAUGGGCUUUUUGGAUUAUAUUGGCUAAUUUAACCAAUAAAUCAACCAAAAAAAUGCACAUUUGACCUACUAUUCUAGGCUUCACAAAAAUGCAAGUUCUUUUUCAUUUGAUCUAGCAAAAAAGACCCAAAACGCUCAUUUUAAGGAGUUGAGUGAUUUUUUUGCCAAAAAAGAAAAAAUGUUCACAGUGAUCAAAUUGUGCCAUUUUAGAUAAUUUAAUCAUCAUUCCGGCCAUUUUUAAUUUCACUGGGUAUGUUUGGAUUAGGAAGAUUUGAAAUAAAAAAAUUACUUUACAAAUUUCAAUCACUUUUUUAUCUCACAUAUAUCACAUCAUAAAAAGUGCUAUAGUAAUUAUCUCAAAUAAAUCAUGGAAGAAUUAUACCAAUCGUCCAUCACGUAUCGCUGAUGUGAAAAUUUAGUUCCUUAGAACAAGAAUGAUUAGUUUUAAUCCUUAACAAACAAAAAAUGUUCACCUUUAAUCCAUUUUUACUUUUUCGAGCGGAUUUUGAUUGAAAUUUACUAGGCCCACAUGACAUGUCCAACUUUUAAAGGAUAAAAAUGAAGAAUCAACUUGAUCAGAAAUUUGAAGAACUAAUGGUUAGGGAUGGCAAUGGGGGCGGGUGCCCGCGGGGGGCUCACGGGGCGAGGGUUGGGGCGGGGGGGUGGGGCGGGGGCGGGGGGAAUUUUUUCCCCCCGCUUAGAAACGGGGGGGGGGCGGGGGUAUACUCCCCCGCCCCAUCCCCCGCCCCGCCACCCGCAAAAAAAAAAAAAUAUAUAUAUAUAUAUAUAUAAAUGACUAUAUAUUAUAUGUAAGUUAAUUAGUUAUAAACUUAUGAUAAUGAUAUUAUUAGUUAGAUGUAUUAUAUAAUGUAUAUUAGUUUAUGUAAUAUAAUUGAUAUUAUCAAUUAUAUGAAUAAUUAUACAUGUCUACUAAUAGAAUUUAUUAAUUAGUUAUACUAAAUUUACUAAUACAUUUAUACUAAAUUUCUAAUUACACUUAAUAGAAUAACACUUUUUUCUCAAAAAAAAACACAAACACAAUGAUGAAUUAGUGAUUGCAUUUGUACUAAAAGUGAAAAUUUGACUAUUUUAGUUAUAUUUAUUUCAUCAUAUUGGAUUGUAUUCAAAUAACUUCUGUUUGAUUGUUUUUAUGAGUUUCAAUUGUAAAAUUACAAUGAAUAAUAAUUUGGUGAUGUGUUGAUAUUUUAGUACUUGAUUAUUUAUUAAAAAAAUUAUUAAUUAUAAUAAAAUUUUAUUAACCCCGCGGGGGGAAGCGGGGCAAGGCGGGGCGGGGCGGGGGGAGCGGGAGGCGGGGGACGGGGGGAACUAAUAGGCAACGGGGCGGGGGACGGGGGAGGGGUCCCCCGCCCCAACCCCGCCCCGUUGCCAUCCCUACUAAUAGUGCAUAUCUUUAGUUAAAUAUUCAUCAAAAUACACAAAAACUAUUCCACCAGUAUUCGAAAAUCUCCAAUUCAUCUCAACCCAAAAUGAACCAUAAUUUCAAACUCCUCUUAGUUGAUUGAAAUUCUUUUGAAGGAAAUUCGUGAUUAAAAACAAGAAAAUAACAAGCAAAUAUGCUAUAAAAGAUAAAUGCAAAAAAAAAAGAGAAAAAUGAAAUGUGCUUCCUUGACCAAAACAUUCUAGCAAGUCUGUCAGGAGUUCCUGGUCAAAAUCAAGAUGGAAGAAAUUCCACAAGCCUAAAGUUGAGAGCAAAAUUUGGUGGCUUGCAAUAUCUAAAGACAACAUUUUUUGGGGCGAAAAUAGGAUGGGAUUGAAAUGCUUUGUCAAAGUUUCCAUCUUUUUCUUGUUACAGUGCCACGUCAUUGGACUCUUUCCCAUCUUCCGUGAAGAAACUAUGCCAACUUUCAAGUUGGGAUUGUUGAACGAGACAAUGACAAGAUAAGAAAAAGUUUUAGGAGAUAAAGGCAUAGAUUGUAUGGGAUGUGUCUUUGAGAAACUCUUCAGAUCAAAGUCACUGAGAUUUUGUGAUAGAAGCGUGAUGUCUAAACAAGGCUUUUGAUGGAGCUCAAGGUUCUGCUCAUGGUUGGUUGACGAUCGGGGCAAAGAAGAAGAUGGCUUUUAUGAGUUUUAAGGACUUCUCUUUUGUGUUUGAGUUUAUUGGGUUUUCGGCAACUUCGGCUCUUAAGAGGCAAAUGUAGAGCUUUCCCCAGUGCUCCACGGCUUCCGACAUUUCAUUCAGGCAUUUUACGAACACUUGCAAUGCUGGUUGACAAUGGUGCUGUCACGAUCUAUAGCAGUAAUGCAAUUAUUGAAACCAAGAAGAACCCAUUCUCCAUCAAAGUCAAGAUGGCUCAAAUGCUGGAAGGUGGAGAAAUUGUGGAAGUUGUAUCCGUCGAUCAAGCCAAGGUCGCCAAGUCUGCCGGCGUUUGUUACAUCAUUAUCUCUAAACCCAAUAUAUUUGGCAUUUCAAUUAGCAAUUUCCUUCAGAUGAAUUUCAAUCAAUUGUUGCGAGUUUGCAAGUAGGGUUGUUUUGGGUUGAGAUGAAUUGUUAGUAAUGGUGGGUUAGUUAUAUAUUUUUUUAUGAAUGUUUAACUAAACCUUUGCACUAUUAGUCUCCUCACAUUUUCUAGUCAAGGUGAUUUGCCAUUCUUACCCUUUGAAAAUUGUGUACGUUAUGUGGACCCAAUAAGUUCCGGUCAAAAUCCACUCGAAAAAGUGAAAAUGGACUAAAAGUGAUCAUUUUUUUUAGCCAGGUUUUUGGACAAGUUUUUCACCUACAAAUUUUUUAACAACUUUUGUUACAGGAAUCCUAAAAAAUCUUUUCAAAAUUUUUUACCUACACACUUCAAAAUAUCCAAAACACAAAAAAAAUUCCCUUCCUUUUUUUUCUUCUUCCACCCCUAUCCCAACCCACACCACCGCCGGUGUCGACCAUCACCGUUGUUUUGUCCCCUAUCCUGCGGAGAUGUGUUUGGCUUGUUGAUGGCUCGGGUGGCGGGGGGACGGGGUCGUGCUGGGGAAAGAGCAGGAGGUCGCAAGGGGAGGGGGUCGCUCUGGGAAAAGGGCAGGGAGGGUGGCGGGGCACAGGGGAUGGCGGAGAGAGCGGGGGAAAGGGAUGGUGGGCAUAGGGGGUAGCGUGGGAGGGAGUAGGAGGGCAGAGGGGAGGAGAGGGGUGGUGUGGAGGUGGCGGGCGUGAGUUGUUGCUGGGAGGUAACGGAGAGGAAAGAAAGAAAGAAGAAAAAGAAAAAGGAAGAAGAAGAAAAAGGAAGAAGAAGAGAAGAAAGAAAAGCAAGGAAAAGAAAAAGAAAGAGAGAGAAAAAAAAAAGAAAAGGAAAAAAAAGUUUUUCAUUUUACAAAAACUUCUACAAAAUUUUUCACCUUACAAAAUUUUCUACAAAAAAGUUUUUCACUUUACAAAAAUUUCUACAAAAUUUUUUCAAAAACUUCUACAGUGCACUACAGUAAAGUUUUCGACAAACUCCCAAAAACUCAAGUUCCAAACAGGCCCUUUGUCAGGGACUAAAACUAAUUAUUUUCGUUCUAAGGGACUAAAUUUUGACGUCAGCGAUAUAUGAGCGAUGAUUGGUCUCAUUCUCUCAUAAUUCAUCCAAAUAAACUCCUAUCCAAAACAAAUUCAUUGAGUGUGUUUGGAUUGAAAUGAUUUGAAAAAAAAUAAUUUGUUUCACAAAUUUCAAUCACUUUUUUAUCUUUCCAAUUAUUUUUUGGGAGGCAACGGAGAGGAAAGAAAGAAAGAAGAAGAAGAAAAAGAAAGAAGAAGAAGAAGAAGAAAAGAAGAAAGAAAAGAAAAAGGAAAGAAAGAAAAAGAAAUAGAAAGAGAAAGAGAAAAAAAAGGAAAAAAAAGUUUUUCAUUUUACAAAAAUUUCUACAAAAUUUUUUACCUUACAAAAAUUUUUACAAAAAAGUUUUCACCUUACAAAAACUUCUACAGUGCACUACAGUAAAGUUUUAGAUAAACUUCCAAAAAACUCAGGUUCGAAACAGGCCCUUUGUCAGGAACUAAAACUAAUCAUUUUCGUUCUAAGGGACUAAAUUUUGACAUCAGCAAUAUAUGAGUGAUGAUUGGUCUUAUUCUCUCAUAAAUCAUCCAAAUAAACUCCUAUCCAAAACAAAUUCAUUAAAUGUGUUUGGAUUAAAAUGAUUUGAAAAUAAAUAAUUUCUUUCACAAAUUUCAAUCACUUUUUUAUCUUUCUAAUUAUUUUUUUAUCUCACAUACAUCAUAUUAUAAAAAGUAUUAUAAUAAUUAUUUUAAAUAAAUCAUCCAAAUAAAUUUCUAUCGAAGCAGACUCAUUAUUGUUUUUUAGAAGCCUUGUGGGGUCUACACAGCAUCAGUAUCAUCAUCAAAGGUGGAGUAUUUUACCGGGUCAAAGGUGGACCACAGCAUACUUUGCUCAACGUCAUACUCUUUAUGCUCCUUGCUCGCGACGCGAGGCCCGGUUACUGAUCAGAUGCCCGCCCACUCUCGCCUCUUGAAAGAGCGACCAUAAUCCCAAGAAUGGCUGUUUUAGGCUAAUUUUGAGUUAUUCCUUUUUUUGGCACCAGCAGGAUGUAAACUUAGAGGCGAAAUUCACCGGGCAAAGGCCAAAAGUUGAAACAAAAACCUUUUAGGAACCGACUAACGGGUCAUUCUGUGGAGCACUUUAAAAUCAACCAGCUUAGCUUGCAUGUUAUGGGGCGACUCAAAACCAAAUCAAACUGCAAAUGUGAUUUUAAAAUGAUACAAAUUAAUUGUGUAUAUUAUGUAUCGUAUGUUGUGUGUUAUGUAUCGAAUAUGGACCAUUAAAUUUGAGGGAGUAAUUCGAAGGGAUGCAGCAAAAUAUUUCACCUUCAACUCAUUUAAUCAUCACAUACAAUUUGGACUUGUGUCAUUGAGGACUGUGUACCGUUAUAAAUAUUAGGCGCCAUUGGGUCUUUCGUCCCAGAAGUAAUUAGUUUAAAGAGUGAGACUCUCCUUUACGCUCAUAAUCAAACGGUAUACUUCUCCAAUCGAUAUGGGCUACGUUUCCUAUACUUUUCCUCUUUGUAUUUUAUAUAAAGUGCUAAUUCUUUAACAAACCAUGAUUUCAGAUACGAAAAAAUAAGAUGCAAGUUACAUAUGUAAUAGGAAUGGCCAAGACAACUCCAACCUAGAGGAUAGAUCACUAAAGAGAAACAAGACGAAAAUGUUUCACCAAAACUAUUCUUCCCUUCGUGGGCCUCGGUUGGAGAAAAUGAAAAGAAAGAAACGCAACGAAAGUGAAAGGGCAAAAAGUGUAACUGCCAGGUUUCCCCGCACUACGCUUUAAAGUACAUUUGUCACAAAUUGAGAAAUAAGAGAGAGUUAGCUUCGUCGAAUUAUUCAUUUAUUGGUAUGGCUGAAAAAUAAGGUGCACUUGGUUAAAUGCCAGUUCCCUAUCCAUUGGAGGCAACAACAUCUGUAGUACGGUGCAUGCAAGAAGCCGACUUUGCUGGCAAAAGAAUUAUAACUGGAUUGACUUGUCAAAUCAAAUCCAGGAAGUUGGAAAAGUAGCUGUUUGGGACCAAAAGCGAACGAUACGCAGGCCGCGGUCAUCAAUUUACAAUUCAUCAUCCGUAUCCCUCUCAAGUCUCACCUGUACAAAACAAAAGAUAAACAGGAUAAAUGAUCCAUAUCCAUAACCAAUUAUGUAUUCAUAUACUCGGAUCUUGCAGCCAUUCCACCUAUAGAAUUGAGGGCCAUAAUACAGAAACGACACAGCUGUCGUGGUUUUAGUUAUCCUAUCAGGCAACGGCAUGCAAAAUUCCUAGUGGAUCAGCUUCAAUUUGGCCUUUUACAGGCUACUAGUACGUGCACACAGGCCCCUUCUGCUAUUCGUUGCAAGAAACCAACGUCAGCUACGUCCCUCUGCAACUGCCUCUGCAUCAUAACUUCUUUUCAACUUUUCCUCCCAGGUUUGUGUACAAAUCUUUGAAAUUAUGGAUAAUACUACACACCUCAUUAGUGGAUACACGCAUCCUUGGAACUAUGUCUGCAAAAUUGUCAUAGAAAAGCAAUAUUUGAGCCUUUGACACAUAUUAGCACUUCUGGUUAGAUUUCUUGAGAAUUCAGAAAAACGUGCACUUUUCUUGAGGACCAACGAAAAAGUCUGUCUUUGAGAGUAAUUGGGCUUCAUUUGUAUGGAUUUGGAUUUCUUGAAGUGGGCUUUUGAUUAUACUAAGAAGAAGAAGAAGUGGGUUCUUGCCUUUGGUGCAUUUUAUGGCGCAUAUAAAUUCUAUCACUUGCCUUCUGUGGUAAAGAAGAGGAAAAGAUUGUCAAAGCUCUUGGGCGCCCUUGUCGCCGUAGCUGAGAUGGUGUCUGAUUCAGCGGAGGCAGUUGGUGUCGUUUCUAGAGAUUUAAAAGAGUUCAUACAAUCUGAUUCUGAUCAAAUUCCCAGUAGUUUGAGGCAAAUAUCGAAGAUUGCUAGGUCAGAUGAGAUUUCAGAGUCUCUGAUGAGGAUUACUACUGCUCUGACUGUGGGAAUAUUGCGUGGUAAUAGGCAGGAGAAACUGAGGAGUGGCGGUUCCAUCAGUCCAAAAUCAGAUUUUUCUGACAGAAUAUUGGAUAAGCUUUUUUCGGAGGCAGGCUCUGGUUUUGCCUCUGUUGUUGUCGGCAGCUUUGCGAGGAAUUUGGUUGUGACUUAUUAUUCGAAUAAGCAAUUGAAUGGUUCCUCAAAUGCGGAUCAUGAUAUUUAUGAAUCGAACUCUACUGCUAAGUGGGUCAAUGUGCUACUUGAGGAUAAAUGUCGAGAAGUGAUUGGGGAUUGUGUACAAAUGUUCGUGAGUACAGCGGUUACUGUUUUUCUUGACAAAACGAUGGGCAUCAAUCCUUAUGAUGAACUCUUUUCUGGGAUGACAAAUCCCAAGCAUGAAUCUAAAGUAAAGGAAAUGCUGUCAUCAUUGUGCAAUGUCGCCGUAGAAACUCUUGUCAGGAGCUCUCACCAAGUUUUGGCUGAUGCACAUAGUAGGGAUGCAGCUCCUGAUUCGAAAUACCUACCUAGCGAACUUUUACUGAGCCCUAGUAAAGAUCAAAAGGCUUUAAUUCAGAGAAAAUUGAUGUCGUUUGGAUCCAAACCGAGCAAAUUAUCUUGUGAGAAUGAAGACAGUGGGUGGACGAGGAAGAUGUCUUCCACUUUGGCAGUUCCGAACAACAGGAAACUUGUCCUUGAUGUAACUGGAAGGGUGACGUUUGAGAGCGUCAGGUCUUUUCUGGAAUUUCUACUUGAAAAGAUAGCCGAGCGUUUGAGAAGUAGCAUUGAUGCUGUCCAUGAUGAGGUGAUUGAUAGGGGGAUCGAAGUUGUUCAACACGUCAGUAGAAAGUCUGCCGCUGCUUCCAUAUGCCUUUGCUUAUGUUUGCACAUUCUGAGUAGUCCAUGGAUUUUGGUGCCGACAUAUUAAUCGGUUAUCCUUUGUUUGGUAUUGGUCGCAGCUCACUAGAUUCUUUCCCCGAGUUCAUCUUGGGCUUUGUACUUGCACGUAUAGUUGCCGUGAAUAUGUGGAAGAAUAUUGCUUGCAUCUCAAUUGCAUCAACUGUUCAUCUUCCCUCUACUUUCUACGUAGGGUAAAUUUCACUCGGUUAUGUUCAGGAAACUACGUGAACAUAGGCAAGAGAAUUACUUGGUCUUACCUUGAUUUCAUUAUGCAGUUUUGGCUUGUAACAGAAGCAAGCGGCGUCAGCCGAAAGCAUUGAGCUGUUGCCAGCUUCUGAAAUCGUUAACUUGGAUAUUAUAAUCUUAAAUGUGUGGUACAAUUCGUUUCUGAUACACUAAGAAACUCCUCAAUUGCAUAUAAAUCUUCUACAUAUGUUUGGCCAUAGUAGAAUCAAGCUUAAAGCAAAUGAAAAACAAUAAAACACCUUGAAUCCUAGAUACCAAUGACAUGAUUCAUUUUGCAACACAAACUUCUGGAGUUGAACGGGUCUGCCAAAACCAUAACCAGAUAGCAGAUACUGGUAUCCCUAAAAGAAGUUGAUGGGCAAACUGCCUUCCGAAGGCAACAUUCGUUGCUGUUAUCAGUUCUUAAGAGACUUGGAUGAAUCACAAUAUCAUGGCCUUGUAUACUUUUGAGGAGAUUAUAUCAUCAGCUAUGAGAAGCUUGCUUAUUCUCUUUUGCUGCCGCCUCUUCUUUAAGUUUCUUCUUCCAGUAGUCAUCAAGUGGAGGCCCAAAAAUAGCUUUUCCAGAGACGACCCCAAUCCUGCAGAACAAAUCAUUCAGCAAUUAAUAUUAGAUACUUGAAUUGUGCAUGAAUUACAGAAUCAGUUAACCUGAUGAAUAAAUGACUAAACUUUUAGGUUAGAGUGCUAGAAAGAGUUUAGGUCCUCGGGAUGGUGACUUCAUAACUUUUACAGAGACCUUGCUUGAUGCUCCAUCCAUUCUGGGAUAUCAAGACUAAUAAAUGGCAGCUAUUAGGAAGUCGGGUCUGUGCCACUUUCUGUCACCCCAACAUUGGGAGAGAAUCUAUGGCUCUGAUUAAUAUCAACUUAGGACAUUGUCCACUGCUCGCAUCCAUCUACUGUAUUACCCGAAAAUGCUUCACAACUGCUGAAUUCUCCCUUUCAGUGAUUGUGCCAUAAAAGCUAAUUAUUAACAGCUUUAGCAAAAGGCUUAGUCACAACAAACAUGUCUACCAAAACAGCUAUGUAAUGCACAUGACAUCGGUCAAAACAGAGGUGAAGCCAGCGAGAAACACCCAAGCAAAUGCAGCAAGCCAAUCCAAGCGUCAAACAAAGGCAAUCAGGAUAUCAAAAAAUCUUCAUAUAGAAACUGAAUCUAGCAAGAUUCUCAAGGAAUACUGACUUCUCAACAUUCUUUCCACCCAAAAUGGAGGGUGAAGUCUGAAUAAUCUGAAGGCUGUUCAACACAACAUACAGUCAAAAUAUUAAGUUUUUGUUAGGAUUUAAACCUGCAUUAAGAAUUUCACCAACACACUUGGACAAGAAGCACAGCUUUGGUUCCACCACACUUGUUAAGCCGUAGAUACUGAAAUAAGGUUUCCAUUCACAAAAUCAUUUUAGAAGCACAGGUGUAUCUUCAAAGGAGCAUUUCCUACCAGACAAGCAAAUGACAAAUUGACUCUUUUUAACCGCAUAAAUGCAUCCCAACUAGUAUUCCCGUAUAACAAAUUCAACAGCACCCUCGAUUGAGUAUGGCCUGUCCAAUUUACCACACAUAUCAGAAACAUUCUAAAACCUUGAGGGAAUUACUAACAGCACCGAAAACCUGUACGAGUUUCAUGUUGUGACACUGACAUCCAAAUACCAAGCAUCAAGCCUUUAAGAACCAUACCAGUCUCACUUCAUUGACCAGCACUAAAGUUCAGGGGUAUGACAUUCAGCAGGCAGUUCCACUAUGCAAACUCAAAUUUUAACAGCAGCACAUAAUCUCUCAAUAUUCAAUACAUAUUACUCUUCGCUAUCUUCAAAAUGCCUAUGGUCUCCUCAUUUCCUUUCUACAUUUAUCAGAAAUGAUUUUAUCAGUGUAAAUGCCCACAAAGAGCAUGGAUGAUGUUUUCAUGACUAACCCAAGUUUUUAUAGGUAAUGCUACUUAUCUAAAGUUCCUCAUUACCAUUUGAGACAACACUGAAUUAAAGAGGCCUCUCAACAUGAAUAUCACUAAUCAAUACCAUCUAACUCCAAUUCAAGAAAAAUUGUCCUUGCUAGCGUGCCAUUGCAAAUCAGUUUAUUCUUGCCAGAGUGCCUAUACUUCACUCAUGAAGUCUAACCUCUCCCAAUUAAUACUGUGAAUUUAACCAUCAUUCUCCAAUAAUAACCACAGUUAGCAUUUGUUUAUUCUACGAAUUUUUGGGCACAACACCAUACCUCGAAACUUCAUGCCAUAAUAAAAGCAACAAAAUUUUCACUGGCUUGAAAUUAAAUAGCUAUGACUCGUUCAGAAGCAUUCAGGGGAAGAAAAGGCAUAAAAAUUUCCAAUCUUGAAUCGCAGCCAAUUCACAUAGCAGGGGAGCACUCAAGCAAAUCUACACAUAGACAUACACAAAUUCAAGAAAAAAUAAGAACAAGGCAUGGAAGCUUACACAACAGCUCCAAUAACCAAAGGAAACGACAAAAACCUCCUUCUCCCGAACAUUUAUCAGGCUUUGGAUCAACACUUCCAAGCCGAAAGGAGACUCCGUCUUCCUACUCCUCUGCAGAUUUCAGAAAGUUCCUCUCUGACUCCUGACGCUGUUGAUAAUUCGGGCCAUCACAUAUUUUUUUUGAUCACCGGCCCAAUACUCUUUACAAAUGGGCUUCGUAACUUCAGUCCAAUGCGUUUAUGUUCGUAAUUUUGUCAUCUUGCUCGAAUUAUUUAUCCUACAUGUGUCUUUCUUUUAUUAUUGUGACUAGCGUUUGUGGCACACAUGCAUUAUUUGGCUGAAGGUUGCCAAAAAAAGUAAGUGUAUCGAAUGAAAUGAGAAGAAAGGAGAGAGAGUGGAAAAUUACAAACUUAGGCCUUUUUCUUUUUUUUUUUUUCUCUCCUUUUAGAUGAUGUAGUGUCGCACGCAUUAAAUGGGGUAAAAUAUGUGAGUUGGUAGAUUUUUUUUCCAGCAUACCCUAAUAGGGGGGGGGGGGGAAGGGGGGGUGAGAUGCCAGCCAAAUUUUAUUAAAGUAAAAAAUUAAAAUUGAAGGGGAACAUACACCUAAUCUCCCAUUACAUUACAUGACUCUUACUUAAAACUUUAAACAAGGAAUACUAUUGGGCUAGAUAUUGUUGUCAUCAUUUUUUUUUAAUUUAAUGAAAAAAAUAGCUUGCCACAAUAGCAGCAAAUUAGAUUCUAGUCAUAGAAUCAUAGUAAAUCUCCUAGUCAUAGAAUGAAAUUCUCAUAUGCAUUGGGGAGUGGAAGAAAUUCAUGUUCAUAGACGCUUUCGCUAAAGGGACUUCGGCUUUCAAUGUUGUGACAAGAAUUGCUGCCAAGAGUGGGUUGACAGAUUCCCACUUCACCCGAUUUUAUUUAUCUUUUCGUAAUUAAACCGAGAAUAAGGUGGACAAUGAGUAAAUAUAGGCAGUGGCACCCCUCCAUAGAAUAAUUAAACUAAUGGAAUGAUACCCACCAAAGCAUUAUUAGUUGAAGCGGCAAGCAGUCAUUUGAUGAUUCAACUUGGACCGAUUGCAGGAAACGUUGUAAACUAUCAUUUGACCGAAUCUGGGUUGGUGGCUGGGCUUUCACAUGUACUACUACUACUUGCAUUCUCCCAUGCAAACCGUUGGAUUAUUAGGGCAAUGUUUCUGCAAUGGCCGCACCAUGUUUCCAAUACUUUCCAUCUCCUAAUCCAAACCCCCCCCCCCCCCCCCCAAAACCAAAAAAAAAAAAAAGAAAAGAGCAACUUUGACUACUGCUGUUUCAGGAGAAUUUAAUGUCGAAGAUAGGUCUGCAACUGGACUACUUAGAAUCCAAUUGGCAUGUACACCGAAACAGAUCCAAAUUUCAUAAUGUAAAUGAACUGAUACUGGUUCAAUUGGUGAUAAACGAGUAAUAAUGGAACAGUAAUGGUAGCAACAUACACACUGACGAGUUAUCUAAUCUGCAUCAGACAUCAGAGGAGGGAGAGCUCCGCUGUGCGUGAAGAUAAGAUAUCAGGCCGCUGUUGCAGAGACAACAUUUCAUUUAGGUUCAGGACCACCUCCCAGAACAUACCCAAAUCCUUCUAUUCGCAUUGUAAGCCGCAAGGUUUCGGCUAAAUGUAUGAUGAGGUGAAAUGAAUGAAUUGUUCUCGAGGAACUAACGGCUGCAAUUCGGAGAAAUUUUUAUUGCGCUAAUAUUUAUUACUGCAACCAUUUAAUAGUAGUAACCAGUAGUAUAGUAAUGGUCAUUACUAGGUUGGAGUUACAAUAAUAAUGUCUCAACUGUCAACCAACCUCAUCAACAUCAACCUGUGACCUUGGGUACUUGCUUUAAAAUGUAGUUGUUUCCAUUAAAUUCUGAAAAUGAACAAACAGAUAAAAUGUUCCUUUCUUCUGUACAAUUUACUUCCAGUGCUGUGAUCCCUAUCGCUGUAAAAGUACGAAGCCACCUUGGAACAACGGAUCACUGGUGUAGAUGAGGAUCCAUAAAUAUGCAAUUACGUGUGAUUACUAUUCAGUAAUCAUAAAUAUUCCUUUAGUUGACCCGUGAGCUUUCAUUAAUUGUUGCUUUGGGCGGACUCUGAAACCGAAUGAAAUACUAAAGUACUCAACUUGAUUAUAUAGUAUAGCAAGGCGUCUCUGUUAAAGUUGAUUGAGUUACAGGUUAUGCCCCCGGAGGCUACUGGCUACGGUGUAUGUAUUUGGUCGAACGUUUUUUUAUUCCCGUUUAAUUGACUUUUGAAUCUAAGUCAACCACACGGAACUGGAGUCUUCAGAGUCAGCUCCUCUUACUGCUUUACCGACCUCCUUUUUUUUUUUUUUGGUAACUAACUUGCUAUUUAUUUAUUUUUUUCUCUUCUCUUUUCGGGUAGGUCAUUUUUUUCACCGGGAACAUCAUCAUCGUCUUUGGUAGUUCUUUUAGGUCGCGGUGUAUAAACGUAUCAAAGGCAACCAGCAGCGGAGAGAUUGUAUAUUUCAGGAAACCGAUCAUUCCUGCUAAAAAUACAGUCAGCAAAGAGAAGAAAUUGCUGCAAUGGAUGAAAGACUGUAAUUACAGGUGUUUCGCAUACGAAGAAAGAGAUAUUAUUCCUCAUUUCUAUCCACAAAAAGAGAGAGAAACUGAGAGAUCCUAAGGAAUUUAACGCAUCCUGAGUACAUGAGUCUGUUCAGAAAUCCAGGCACCAAGCACUAAACAGGCAGUUUUUAAUAGCAGUGGUCAGAAAUUAACUAGCAAAACAAGAUUAUACUUGAGCCAAGUCAAUCACGUCUAAUGAUCACAUGUUUUUCAGGUCACUGGAAUCGAAGUUUGCAUGAUCAUAGAAGUUGUACAAGCAGCUAUUUGCCUAUAGGUAACAACCAAAAAUGUCUUUCCUUGAAUUACUACGGCUUAUGAUUCUGGGUAUAGAUGUAAUCAAGAUGAGCAGCAAGAGUCCUCCUCAUCAAACAUUCUUCCUCCCCAACUCCUCCGCAAGUUUCUUCCAUCUCUGCUUGCUUUGCUUCUACCUCCUGCAGAAAUAAAUCGAAUACGAGCACCCCAUCAGAAAAAAAGAUGAGCAUAAAGACCAUCUCAGCAUGUCUGCAGAGGUGAAAACUUGAAAAACAGGGGAACAGAGAAUUAGACACUUACGUGUUGCUGAGUUUUCAUCAGGGUGGCAUCAACAAAAGCCGGCUCAGGACGACCAGCAAAAGAUAGUGACAGAAAGCUGAAAAGAAGGGCUACUGUGAAGAAGGAUACAAACUUAGCCAUGUUUUUGCUCGCUUCAAAAUAAGUAGUAUAUGUUGGUGGUAACUUGCUAGUGAGAGUUCUUAAAGACGCGCGCUGAGAAAGGGUCUGAAAUAGCCUGAAUAUAUAUAGCGAUUGAUGAUUGAAGGCCAACGCUGAAAGGUGGGUGUGAACUUGGAAGAGUAAAAGGGAGACUUUUAAUGCCGCCGAACAAAAUAGUGAAAAGAAGAAAAAUAAAUAAAUUGGAGAAACAGAAAUUCUAGACGACCACAGAAAUAACAAGGGGGAAAAAACAAGUCAGAAAACAGUUAAAAAUCCAAAUUCAUUCCUAAUGAUGGCUUUGUUUGUCGCAAAUUGGCGUAAGAAUAUAGGUGGUAGCUGACCAGAGUCAAAUAGAGAAUGAAGGUACAUGACAAAAGGCUCGGCCAAAUCUCCUCCCUGAAAGAGUGAUUUGGUGUUUGUUGUAUUCACGAGGGAUUAACAAUUUGAUAGUCAAGGUUAGCUCAUAUCACCAAAGAUCACUCCAAUUAUAUAUAUAGGAAUCUAUUAGCCCGUCCCCACCGUUUCAACUUAGAAAUUCUAGCUGAAUAAUUUAGUCAAGGAAACCAUUGGUAUCAUCCCUUAAAGAAAGACCUGACUAAGCAAUAACUUUGGUCUAACAAAGGUCGCCAAACAACUAAUAAAGAUUCCUACUUUCUAAAAAUUCUUGUUCUUAGUUACUAACCUUCACAAGGGUGCAAUCUGGGCAGGUAUCAUUGUCUAUGGAAACCCUGCAGAAAGCUCAAGAAGAAGAAGCUGGUAUAAGGGUCAAGCAAACAGAGUUAACCCGCAAAAACUGAUUUUGAAUCACCGAAAUUGGACGAUUAUGUGUGUGUCUAUAUAUAUAUUCGGACGAAGUGAUGCAAGAAAAAACCUUGGAGGAUGCAUUCUUUCAAUUAGAGAUACGAUAUCCGGAUCAACAUAAGGCCUAUAAAUGAUCUCCAUCUCCUGUCUUAAUGAUCUCCGAGAUUAUGCUUCACCUGAACCUGAAAUAGUCAACUAAACCAAAUAAAUGUCCAACAAAGUUGACAUGCAAAUCUCCUUUGAAUUAAUUCAGAUUUUAAGCGCGUGCCAGUUCAGAAAAUUGAGUAAGGAAGCGGCGUAUAUUCUUGUUUUUCACAUUAAUCCAAAAAAAAAACAACAACAAAACAGAAAAUAUUGAGAUAGGCUUCCUUGUUUUUCACUAAGAUAAUCAAUCAAAUACAAACAAAUGUUUUAAACUGCAAGAAGAUGAAUCAAAAGAUACUCUAAGUCCCGACCUCAUUUAAAAGAAAAUUUUAACAGAAAGAAAAAUAAAAGAAAAAAGGAAGAAUCCGAAACUGAAGGGAGGACUCAUCAGAUCAGAAAAGACAGAGGCACGAAGGAGAACUGGAAUUUGGUGCUUAAAUAGGAAGCUUUAUUUGGGCAAGCGUUUGUCUAAGAGAAUCUAACAUGGGAGCUUCUUUGAGUAAAUGGUUUUCUUUGCAUAAUGCACCAGAGAAAAGAUAGAGAGUAUGGUUUAGUUAUAAGAUCCUGGGAUUACCGAGGACUAGAAAUUUAGAUUUUAAAAGUCAAAACCUGGGAGGCCCUUAACUCCAGGUGACUUGUUCUCCUUCCUUGAGGGAGAGGGAGAGGGAGAGGGAGAGGGAGAGGGGAGGGAGGGUGCAGGGGAGAGAAAACUGCAGCAGAAGAGCAACAUUAGCGAUACCCGCGAACUGUAC
rnacentral:lncRNA from 1 species